ensembl:lncRNA
CCGCGUGCAAUACCCGAAAGAAGAGUUGCACUGGUUUUGUAAACCAAAUGGAAGAGGCAUAUAAGAUUCUACGCUGGCAGAGGAUCUCCAACAUGAUAGCUCUAUGGCUGAUAUAAAACGUGACAUUAGAUGCUCACUUGUGCAUCACUGGAAAAAAUGGACCUUCUAGGAUUGAGCCACCCUCAGCAAGUUACAUUACUCUUCACUUGUGAUCAUGAACCAAAGAUCUGUGUCUGCUGAUCCUCCAACUAUGGUUGUGCUGGACCAAUCCUUUGAGCAGCCGAGAAGCCAAAUGAAUGUUAGCAAUCGUUUGAUUGUAGCUUUAAUUGCCAAAUUUAAUGUCUAAUCUGGAGGAUCAAGGAACAUCUUGAUCGAGGAAGGAUCUCGGCAUACCCCGCAUGUUUCGAAGUGUAGAUUUGGUUGGGAGCCCUGGGGUUUCCAGUAUAAUGGAGGUAGGUUCAGAGACAUACCAGCACCUUUGUCCUCAUCAACAGCUUCAUCCGCAACAGCAGCUUCAGCAGAAGAGGAAGACUGUCACCCAUGCUCUCGAAGACCAGAAAAAACCAGUAACGAACGAGUGUUUGCUCAGUUCACCUGCAGUGCAGCUGCACAUUCAUUGUGAUUAUAAGGGUGUCACAGCUUGACAGUUUUAACAAAGAACAGGUUGUUCUCACCAACCCUUGGCAUACCCCAUUUCUCUGAAUUAAGAUGAUUUGUUGAUUUUAUUUAUGCAGGUCUUCUCCAACAACCGUUUGUCUAUGUGUGUGUGUUUUUCCAGAAAAAUUUCCACUGAGGUCUGCAACAUAAAUCCAGAUUAAAAUGUUGAAGCCCUCUCGAUCACCCCCCUCUGAAUGCUUUUCUUUCACGACGAGUUGAGCUCAGCCUCUGGACUUCUGUGUUAAUUCACUGUUAGCCCUGUCAUCGCCAUUAACUGGUUCCACUGACACGGAAUAUAAUCGCUUUAUAGGGGCCGUGAGGAAUGGGGAAUUGUCCAGAGUCCUCCUUCUCAAUAAAGACGAGCUUGCCAGCA